GCCGGGUGUGGUGGUGCAUGCCUAUAAUCCCAGAAGCUCAGGAAGCUGAGGCAGGAGGAUCACAAGUUUAAAGCCAGCCUCAGCAAUAGGGAGGCAAUAAGCAGUUUAGUGAGACCCUGUCUUUA
rnacentral:sRNA from 1 species